AAAACAAAAAACAACAAAAAAACAAAAAUCCCACCAAAAAACUUUUUCAGGGGAUUAAAUCAUUUGGAUUGGACAGAAUCAUUGAUAUUUGGAUCCUUCUUCAGCCAGAGGAAGAACGGAGGAAACAAAACCUCGUCAUUAAAGACAAAUUUAUCAGAAGAUGGGUGCACAAAGAAGGCUUUAGUGGCUUCAAGAGGUAUGUGACCGCUGCCGAGGACAAGGAGCUUGAAGCCAAGAUCGCAGUUGUUGAAAAGUAUAACAUCAGGAUUCCAGAGCUGGUGCAAAGGAUAGAAAAAUGCCAUAUAGAAGAUUUGGACUUUGCAGAGUACAUUCUGGGCACUGUGCACAAAGCCAAAGGCCUGGAGUUUGACACUGUGCAUGUUUUGGAUGAUUUUGUGAAAGUGCCUUGUGCCCGGCAUAACCUGCCCCAGCUUCCGCACUUCAGAGUUGAGUCAUUUUCUGAGGAUGAAUGGAAUUUACUGUAUGUUGCAGUAACUCGAGCCAAGAAGCGUCUCAUCAUGACCAAAUCAUUGG
rnacentral:lncRNA from 1 species